UACGUAGGGGGCAAGCGUUGUCCGGAAUCAUUGGGCGUAAAGCGCGUGUAGGCGGUCCGGUAAGUCCGCUGUGAAAGUCGGGGGCUCAACCCUCGGAUGCCGGUGGAUACUGUCGGGCUUGAGUGCGGAAGAGGCGAGUGGAAUUCCUGGUGUAGCGGUGAAAUGCGCAGAUAUCUGGAGGAACACCGGUGGCGAAGGCGGCAUCCUGGACCAACACUGACGCUGAGGAGCGAAAGCCAGGGAGCAAAGCGGG
rnacentral:rRNA from 1 species